UGCGAAAGCGUGGGAGCAAACAGGAUUAGAUACCCUGGUAGUCCACGCCGUAAACGAUGUCGACUUGGAGGUUGUGCCCUUGAGGCGUGGCUUCCGGAGCUAACGCGUUAAGUCGACCGCCUGGGGAGUACGGCCGCAAGGUUAAAACUCAAAUGAAUUGACGGGGGCCCGCACAAGCGGUGGAGCAUGUGGUUUAAUUCGAUGCAACGCGAAGAACCUUACCUACUCUUGACAUCCAGAGAACUUUCCAGAGAUGGAUUGGUGCCUUCGGGAACUCUGAGACAGGUGCUGCAUGGCUGUCGUCAGCUCGUGUUGUGAAAUGUUGGGUUAAGUCCCGCAACGAGCGCAACCCUUAUCCUUUGUUGCCAGCGGUCCGGCCGGGAACUCAAAGGAGACUGCCAGUGAUAAACUGGAGGAAGGUGGGGAUGACGUCAAGUCAUCAUGGCCCUUACGAGUAGGGCUACACACGUGCUACAAUGGCGCAUACAAAGAGAAGCGACCUCGCGAGAGCAAGCGGACCUCAUAAAGUGCGUCGUAGUCCGGAUUGGAGUCUGCGAACUCGACUCCAUGAAUUCGGAAUCGCUAAUAAU
rnacentral:rRNA from 1 species